UUUUGCUUUAGGAAUCAGAUUUAGUUUCUAGAGGUUUCUGUUGAGGAAUUUUUUUUUCUUGCUAACGGAAGACCAGAUUCUGCUCUUGUCUCUUGGGACUUGUUUUUUUUUUUGUUUUUUUUUUUUAAAAGCCCGGCUGAAUUCACUAGUAAAUCUUGAAUGUGAAGAACAGGAAGUGAGUCCACUGAGGGAGACAGAAGGUGGCCUUAUCGAAAGUAAAAGAAAACUUCUUCCUGGAGGUGUUUCCAUCCACACUCUCCUCAUCCCCACCCUCUUUCAAGGGAUUUUUCUCGGGCUGGGUGGACAGGCCUUAGGAGUCUGUGACGUUAGGCCGUUCGGGGGUCUUGGCAUCGGGUGCUCUGUGGAUGUCGCUGGGACAGGGGGACCAGCAUUAAAUGGGGUUCAUACUACCUCGUGA
rnacentral:lncRNA from 1 species